AAGAAGGGGUGCCCGCAAGGGGCUGAGAUUAUACCCUAUGAACCUGAUCCGGACAGUGCCGGCGUAGGGAUUGGAUU
rnacentral:ncRNA from 1 species